UCUUCCGCUGCAGGGAGAUGAGGGGAGAGGAGACCAGCCUCAACCCAGUGCCAGGCCACAAGGCUCAACCGAGACUCUUCAACAUCCAAGCACUCCGGGGGAGUAGCGUGAAAAGGGCAGCCUGAGCCAGGAUAGCCUGCUUCCAGAUCCCCCACCUAAGUGAAGGAAUGUGCAGAAAUCCAAGGACACAGGUUGGGGGAGCAGAAGGGUGAUUCAUACUUGCUGGGAAAUGGAGUAGCCAAUGACGAUGUUGCCCUCUGGGACGUCCCAGGACACAGUGGCCGAGUUGGCUCUGAGUUGUCUGGGUAUGAGACAGCUGUGCCAAUCACAGAGAAGUCAAAUCCACUGACCCGGGACCUAGACAAAGCAGAUACUGAGAAAAUUGUUCGAAUGCUGGGGCAAUGUGAUGCUGAGAUCUUCCAGGAGGAAGGGCAAGCUCUGCCCACAUACCAGAGGCUCUACAAAGAAUCCAUUCUGACCACCAUGGUACACGUGGCCGGGAAAGUUCAGGAAGUGCUGAAGGUGUCCUUUAAUCAGCUGAUGAAAGGUCUGGGACAGAAACCUCUUUACACCUACCUCAUUGCAGGGGGUGACAGGUAAGCCAAGUUAGGCUGUGAAUAUUUUGUUUGGCCUGAAUAGCGCUUCUUAGAAAUUGAGCUGAAUGCCUUUGGGCAGAGAUUGAGUCCAGCUUGCCUUAGUCCCCCAUUCCUUAUUGCCUUACACUUGGUCCACUUUACAUACUUAUGUCACCUGACCGGCUGUUGCAGGUAUUUGGGUUAUUUGGGUUUUUCAACUCUGUGGAGUGUCUAUCAUGGUGCCCAACAAACAGUGGGCGCUCAUUCAAUGAUAGUUUUCCCUUUAUUCCCAUCUCUUAAUGUAGCCUGCCCUAAUAAACCAUAGGCUUCUUCUUCCCAACCAGUGCCACUGACCUCGCGUCUGUCCUCUUCGGUCUGUGGUGGCCUCUAGGGAGGGGAUGGAAGAUAGUGCCUUGCACGGGAUCGAGGAACUGAAGAAGGUCUGUGCUUCCCACUGAUACUUGACCAGAGACCUCUAUCUGUUCCUUCUCAUGGGGACAUAAAAGCCCCAGCAUUCAGCCAAAGCCUAUUCCCUCCCUCCCCUGUUCCUGGCCCUGAUACCCUCACACACUACGUUUGUGCCUGGAAUACUCCCAGUUACACUGCGUUGUCCAUCCUCCUCUCCCAAGUGACUGUCGGGAAGAAGAGGGUGAUUGUCGUUGGCAUUUCUGUGGGACUCUCUGUGAGUAGAAAGAUGGGUUGAGUGGAUGAAUUUUAGAGAGAAGAAGUGAGUGGGAAUGGAAUAGCAUGGAAGAGAGAUCAAUGAGGUGGGUGCUAGAAAACAGGAAGUUUGCUCAAGGAAUUUUGGUUUUCAUUUCACUAACUUGAAUUGAUUUGUAUGAAUGUGGGAAGAUGGGGAGGGAUUGUAUUUAAAUCAAUCAGCAACCAAGAGAUAUGGACUGGUCCAUGGGUAAGCAAAGUAUACCGGCUGGCCAAUGCAGCCAGCUGCCUGUUUUAAAAAAAAAUUUUUUUUUUUUGAGACAGAGUCUCGCUCUGUCACCCAGGCUGCAGUCCAAUGGUGUGAUCUCAUCUCGCUGCAGCCUCCACCUCCCAUGCUCAGAUGUGGUUCUGUGCAUGAGCUGCCUGGGGAAUGUUACAAAAAAAUAGAGAAGAUUCUUAGUUCCUUGUGAGAGGUCUGGUUUUGUAGGUUUGGAGUAAGGCCCUGAAGUAUCUAUUUUUUGAAAGCAUCCCUGGAGAUUCUGAUGCACAGCCAGGUUUGGGAAACUCUGCUAAAUAAACCAUUGGAGUGGGCCACCUGACAAAGCUGAGGGCUUCCUGACACGAGAGGGAUGCGGCAGAGGCUUGUUGAUGAUUUUAGAGCAGCUUUUUGUAUUUAGCGGUGGUCUUGGAAAGGGGGACAAGAGGGUUUUUUGAAGGUGCUUUUCCAUCUCCCAGGUUCUAGGCUGUAUAACUCAUGUGAAGGUGUAAAUGAAUCUGAAAUAUCCUAACUGAUCCUUUUCAUGGAGGGCCCUCCUUCACCAAAAAUGUAUCUGCUGCAGUGGAUGCUAUGUCAGGCCCUAUGACUAAGUGAAAUGAAGAAUUUCAAACAGUGUAGGCGUGGAGAUCUUCCAGUUGUUCCUUAAAUCAGUGGCUCCCAAACUUGGCUGAUUUUCAGUCAUCUGGGAAGCUUUCUAAAAAUACGAAUUUUGGGCUCCACUCCAUAACAACUGAAUCUGAAUCUUAGGGUGGAUGUGGUACCCAGAAAUGGAUAGUUAUUAAAAAACAAAACUCCCCAGAUGAUUUGGAUGCCCAGCUGUGUUUAGGAAUCUAGAUGUUAAACCAUGCAAUAUGAACCCUGUCUCUGGUUUCUGCUUUGGUCUCCUCUUUCUUAGAUCUCUAGCAAGUUUCAGAAAUAGUUUGAGGACAAAUGACAGAAGACAGUUUACACAACGAGCAUGAAAUAUGUAAAACUCGUCUGCCCUGGAAGUGAUACAAAAAUAGUUCAAGAAGGGAUAAAAUGUUUGCAGGAAGGGAUGAUAAGGUGAAAUUUGAGGUACCAUGAAAUGCACCCCAAUGAAAUGUAAAUUUUGGGUGCUUUUACAUUUCAUUGCCAUGUACAGAGGUCACAGUCUUGGAGGUCCUGCCAUAAUGGGCGAUUCACAAAUUAUCCCCUAGCAAAGCCAUUAGAAAUCAACUAAAGAAGAUCCUCAUUCAUUGAGAUUCCAUGAUUUGUAACUAAGCAGAUAACAAGUCUGCCUCAUUAACACAUUCAUUUGUUCCUGAUUAAUUCAUUCAAGGAACGUUUGACAACCGUGAGGUGCUACACCUACCUUGCAGCUUGGUUCCCUCACCAUCAUCCCUCCCUCCAUUACUAGGGGUUCACUCUUUGGAGGGAUUUCCAGAAUGUAUUUCCAUGAAUGGCAAGGGCUUCUGAUGAACCUUAAGAUGGAAAAUAAGGUGGCAACUUUGACAUUUGAAUGACAGGCAUUCCCUAAGGGGCCUGCAGAGGGCGAGGUUUUUGUGGCCAUGGCAUUGGGGCUUAUGCAAGACAGUCUGGGUCUCAGGCUGGAACUUUAAACUUGAGUGUUGGCUUUGCUCUGGGCUUGAGGUGCUGAAUGUUUUAUUAACCCCCGUCCUUGGGGUUCAGGGACACAGUGCCUCUAAAAGCUCCAAAGCAUACGUUUAUGUGAAGUUGUCGACCUCUGACCUCAAUCCCAAAGCAGUCCUUGAUCAUGACUCCCAGCUGAGGCCCUUCUUUGAAAUUCUCAUAGACAAUCUCCCCACCUUGUGUCACUCUGGACCCCAGAAAUGACCCCAUUGAAGACUGGAGUUCAACAUUCCGACAAGUGGCAGAGCGGAUGCAGAAAAUGCAGCAGAAACAGAAAGCUUUUGUGCUCAAUCCUGCCAUCGGGGUAGGGCUUCUCCUUUUCCUAUGUUCUCCAACCCCCCAACACCUGGGAACUGCUUGCCACUUCCUUGGGGCCUCUGAUUUUAGGUUCUUUUACAUCUUGUUUAAAUUCCUGAGGCAUUGUGAGUCAGCUAAGAUGUUAUAAACCAAAUCCUAUUUUCCCAUUUACUUUUUCACCUUAAGAUAUUUCAUCUUCAUUCUUAUCCUGCCUCUCAAAUCCGUAAUCAUUAAACCCUUUAGUGAUCUGGGGCAGUUCCUGUUUAAAGAAGCUCUUUGCCAUCUAUGUAUAGACAGCGUUGAAUAGCCACAGUUAUGUCUGUCUGUCUUACAUAUUUAAAUUUUAAAUAUGGGCUUUAAAAAAUGGGGUACAGUUUUGUUUCAUUCUGCCUCCAAAUCCUCUCCAAAAUUGGCUGGCCCUUCUUAGCUUGAAAGCUGUUUUCUCCUGUUUCUUUUUUCUCAUCUGGAUUGUGGAUACAUUUCACUAGCACCAUUUCUUCUCACUUGGGCCUUAGGAGGGCCUUAGCCAAAUUCCAGCCGGUGCCUCCCUCUACCAGUGAUGGCCAUGUGAUCUGAGACAUUCUCCUCCAUCUUCCUUUUGUGACAUAGGAAGGUAGAAUUCCGUAUGAUGUACGAAUUCCAUAGUUUUGACCUCCCAAAUACUCGUCUCUCUUUCCUCCUCUCUGCAAAUGUUGACUUUCAAUCUUCUUUUCUCAUCAUUACUGUUAUCAUUCUGUUUGCCGGAAUCUCUUUGCUGUCUGGUGUGCUGUGUUCCACAUCUGGACCCCUGCAAGAGCUGCUUCAUCGGUCUGUCCAAAGCAUAUGACAUGGUCUUAGAAAAAUACCUCAAUACACCCAUGAGUCAUAAAGAAAUUCUUCAGGUUAUCCAAAGAGAAGGACUAAAAGAAAUCAGGUGCUUUUCUUAUUGUUGCGAUUAGAAAAGGGACACCAAAGGAUCGGGUACUGACAAUUUCCUGAUUUCUCCAACAUUUUUUACAGCCCCCAUGUGCUCCCAGCGCCAGGCCUUCUCCAAUCCGCAGCCUUGGAAACUGCUGUCCAAGAGGAGAAAUGGACCAGGAGCAGACCCCUGGACUUUGGAGAGCUCUGCUGCCCGACAGCCCAUGGUGAUGUCAGAGGGUCAGAAGUGCCCACAGGAGCGGCCCAGAUCCAGAUUUGCCUCCAGCCUGACUCUGUCCCUGGAACAGAACACAGAGGAAAGACCUCAAGUUUCUUCCAAAGACACCUCAGGGGCCAGCCUGGCUAGUCUCAGCCAGCAUGACUCAGUCUCAACAGCCUGCUUCCUCUAGGGGUUGCCAGAGAUGCAACCCCAGGAGCCCUGUUAGAGCCCACAGAUCCCACACAAGACCAGGAACCAGGCACACCCUGGGAAGUCAACAUGCUUUGUUUAAUUCCUCCCUGAGUUUACCUGUCCCUGGGCCUCUGGGCUAAUUGAAAUAGCUGGCUCUGGAGCUCCAGCAGUGGGCUGGACAGAGCUGGCUGGGGUCCAGGCACUUGGGGAGCUUAUUCCUUCUGUAGGAUUUGACAGCAGGGUGAGCAGCCUCUUUCCUUAGUCUUUGGUUCCUGUAUAUUAUUUCCUCACCAAUUCUUCCUCUGUCAGGGUGAGGGUGGAGGUCUGGGCCCACACUGUCUGUCUCUUGGGCCAUUUGCCAAAGCUAGAAGAUAAGGGGAUGGGGCAGGUAGGGAAGGGUCUGUCUGGUAGGAUGGUGAGGAAGGAGCUGGGCCAAGGAGAGAGAACCAGGCAGUCCUUCCUCCAGGAAAUCUGGAGGGGCUCCCAGCGCCACAGACCUGAGCCCUGUCCAUAUGCACCUGCCUGUGCGUGUGGCUAUCUAGCCAAUACCAGAUAGCGAUAUAGAUAAGAAUAUGGUUAAGAUAUGAAUAUAAUCUGGUCACAGAGGCCUUUAGUCCUGGCUACUUGGGAGGUUCAGGUGGGAGGAUCACUUGAGCCCAGGAGUUCAAGUCCAGCCUGGGCAACAUGGUGAGAGCAUGUCUAAAACAAGGUAUAGAUAUAGACAGAUUUAGGUACAGAUACAGAUAUACAUUUACACGAAGACAGAGAUUUAGUAGUGUAGAUAGAUUUAGGCUUAGAGACAUACAGAUAUAGACACAGGCAUGGAGACAGCUAUCUGCUGGGGAGAACACAGAUGGAAAAGCACCCUCUAGACUCUGAUGCCUUUCCUCAGAUUCUCUCCCAUCCUCUAAGCCAAUAGUUCCGAAAUCUACAAAGCUUUUCUUUUUCUUUUUCUUUUCAAAUGGCCAACUUGACUGGACAAGCCUUUAUCCCAAGUGCAGCAGGUGUCAUAGAAGUUUACAGGGACUCAAAUAAGGAAACAGAAGCUAUCCCCCACACCCAGGAGAACAAGACUGAGUUCUCAGAGAUCGCAUAACAAAGCAGACACUUUCCUUACACACUACCUCCUGUCGCCUCUGCCCUUUCCUGCUACCUGUCCUUUCAUUCCAUGCCUUGUCUCUCCCAACCAGAGGUCCCCAUUGUCGCCUCCGCAGACCCUUCCUGGGUCUCACCCCAGUCUCACUUACGGGUUGGGAUGCUUGGACAACUGGUGACCCCACCAGGGGAAGAGCCAGGAGCAGCAGCGGGGCAGCUGAACAGACCAUGGCUCAGUGAAGCCUUCCCUGCAAGCCCAUGAUGCAAAUUUCUGCAGGGAAGAGCUGUCGGGGCAGUGUGCAGAUGGGA